rnacentral:rRNA from 1 species
UGGGGAAUAUUGGACAAUGGGCGCAAGCCUGAUCCAGCCAUACCGCGUGGGUGAAGAAGGCCUUCGGGUUGUAAAGCCCUUUUGUUGGGAAAGAAAAGCAGCCGGUUAAUACCCGGUUGUUCUGACGGUACCCAAAGAAUAAGCACCGGCUAACUUCGUGCCAGCAGCCGCGGUAAUACGAAGGGUGCAAGCGUUACUCGGAAUUACUGGGCGUAAAGCGUGCGUAGGUGGUUGUUUAAGUCUGUCGUGAAAGCCCUGGGCUCAACCUGGGAAUGGCGAUGGAAACUGGGCGACUAGAGUGUGGCAGAGNGUAGUGGAAUUCCUGGUGUAGCAGUGAAAUGCGUAGAGAUCAGGAGGAACAUCCGUGGCGAAGGCGACUGCCUGGGCCAACACUGACACUGAGGCACGAAAGCGUGGGGAGCAAACA